AGUCCUUCUACUUCUCAAAAAGGGAACCGUGUUUGGGGAAGAAUCAAAUGUCCAUAUUUCUUCUUUCAGCCUUAUCAAGGGUUCUGGUUGGAACUUUCCACCAACUUUUUCCUUGUUUUCCUCUCUCUAGCCUUGGCUCUGCCACUCUCUGCCUGUCACAGUGAAGUCAGCAGCAGGCCUCCAGGGCAAGGCUGUGAAACUGUGAAAUUUGCCAUAAGGGUGUCAGGUAUUUCUUACUGGCUUCCCAGAAUCUUAGAUCAAGAAACCUUUCCCUGGCAUGUCCCCUUCAGGUUGCAUUUGGACGGUGUCUUGAGUUGAAGGAGAAGGAGCUGUAGAGGGCAAGAGCAAAGCAGCAGAGGAAAAAUGCCCCAGAGCUGCAGGCCAACCCGGGUGGACACGCUGCGCGUCAGACAUACCCACCUUGCCCGGGCUAUGCUCAAGCAGAGUCAACUUAUUUUCUACUGAGAGUUCAAGCCCGUCAAGAUAAUGCUGCUCUUCCUUAUCCUUCUGUUGCCGGUAGUUUUGAAAUUUAGUUUUGUCAGCCUCUCAGCACCAGCGCGCUGGAACUGUCCUGAAGGCUCUCCCUCAGGAAACGGGAAUGCCACUUGUGUGGGUCCUGCACCCUUCUUAAUUUUCUCCCAUGGAAACAGUAUCUUUAGGAUUGACUUGGAAGGAACUAAUCAUGAGCAAUUGGUGGCAGAUGCUGGAAUAUCAGUGCUCAUGGACUUCCAUUACAAUGAGGAAAGAAUCUAUUGGGUCGAUCUAGAAAGACAACUUUUGCAAAGAGUUUUUCUGAAUGGGACAAGGCAAGAGAAAGUAUGCAAUCUAGAGAAAAAUGUUUCAGGAAUGGCAAUAAAUUGGAUCAAUGAAGAACUUAUUUGGUCAAAUCAACAGGAAGGCACCAUUACAGUAACAGAUAUGAAAGGAAACAAUUCCCGUGUUCUCUUAAGCGCCUUAAAAUAUCCUGCAAAUGUAGCAGUUGAUCCAGUAGAAAGGUUGAUGUUUUGGUCUUCAGUGGUGGCCGGCAGCCUUCACAGGGCAGAUGUUACAGGUGUGGAAGUGAGACUUCUGUUGGAGACAUCAGAGGAAAUUGCAGCUGUGUCAUUGGAUGUGCUUGAUAAACGGCUCUUUUGGAUUCAGUAUAACAGAGAAGGAGGCAGUUCUCGUAUUUGUUCCUGUGAUUAUGAUGGAGGUUCUGUCCAUUUUAGCAAACAUCUCACACAGCACAAUGUGUUUGCAAUGUCCCUUUUUGGUGAUCACAUCUUCUAUUCAACAUGGAAAAAGAAGACAAUUUGGGUAGCUAACAAGCACACUGGGAAGGAUAUGGUUAAAAUGAACCUCAAUCCAGCAUUUGUACCACCUGGUGGAAUUAAAGUAGUGCAUCCACUUGUUCAGCCCAAGGCAGAGGGUGAUGCUUGGGCCUCUGAUCAGAAACUCUGCAAACUGAGGAAGGGUAACUGCAGAGGCAGCAUGUGUGGGCAAGAGCCAAAGUCCCACGUGUGCACGUGUGCCGAGGGAUACACUUUAAGCCAAGAUGGAAGGAAGUGUGAAGAUGUCAACGAGUGUGCCUUCUGGAAUCAUGGCUGUACUCUCGGGUGUGAAAACACCCCUGGAUCCUAUUAUUGCACGUGUCCUGCAGGAUUUGUUCUGCUCCCUGAUGGGAAACGGUGUCAUCAAUUAAUUUCCUGCCCAAGCAAUGUGUCUGAAUGUAGCCAUGACUGUGUUCUGACAUCAGAUGGUCCCAUAUGUUUCUGUCCUGAAGACUCAGUACUUGAGGCAGAUGGAAAAACAUGUAGCGGCUGUUCAUCACCUGAUAAUGGUGGGUGCAGCCAGCUCUGCCUUCCUCUCAGUCCAGUAACCUGGGAAUGUGGCUGCUUUCCUGGGUAUGACCUACAGUUGGACAAAAAGAGCUGUAGAGCUUCAGGACCACCACCGUUUUUGCUGUUUGCCAAUUCUCAAGAUAUUCGACACAUGCAUUUUGACGGAACAGAUUAUGAAACUCUGCUCAACCAGCAAAUAGGAAUGGUUUUGGCCCUAGAUCAUGACCCUGUGGAAAAUAAGGUAUACUUUGCCCAUACAGCCCUGAAAUGGAUAGAGAGAGCUAAUAUGGAUGGUUCCCAGCGAGAAAGGCUUUUCGAGGAAGCAGUCGAUGUGCCAGAAGGUCUUGCCAUAGACUGGAUUGGCCGUAAAUUCUAUUGGACAGACAGAGGGAGAUCUCUCAUUGAAGGGAGUGAUUUAAAUGGAAAAUACCGCGAAAUAAUCAUUAAGGAAGACAUCUCUCAGCCACGAGGAAUUGCUGUUCAUCCAGUGGCCAAGAGAUUAUUCUGGACUGAUAUGGGGACUAAUCCACGAAUUGAAAGUUCAUCCCUUCAAGGCAUUGGCCGACAGGUUAUAGCCAGCUCGGAUCUGGUCUGGCCCAGCGGAAUAACAAUUGAUUACUUAACUGACAAGUUGUAUUGGUGCGAUGCCAAGCAGUCUGUGAUUGAAAUGUCCAAUCUGGAUGGUUCGAGACGCCAGAGACUUGCCCAGAACGAUGUAGGUCACCCAUUUGCGGUAGCUGUGUUUGAGGAUCACGUGUGGUUCUCUGACUGGACUAUGCCAUCGGUAAUAAGGGUGAACAAGAGGACUGGCAAAAAUAGGGUACGUCUCCGAGGCAGCAUGCUGAAGCCCUCAUCACUGGUUGUAGUUCAUCCAUUGGCAAAACCAGGAACAAAUCCCUGCUUACACCAAAAUGGAGGCUGUGAACAUAUCUGCAAAGAGAGUUUUGGAACUGCUCAGUGUUUGUGUCAUGAAGGUUUUCUGAAAGCCCCAGAUGGAAAAAUGUGUCUGGCUCUGAAUGGCCAAGAGAUAUUGGCAGGUCGUGGGAAAGAUCUGAGUGAUGGAGUAAUGCCAGUGGACACCUUACCCAGAAGCAGAGAGCUUGAAGAUAACCUUACAGAAUCUCAACACAUUCUAGUGGCUGAAAUCAUGGUUUCAGAUGACGAGGACUGCGGCGCUGCGGGAUGCAGUGCGCAGGCGCGGUGUGUUACAGAGGGAGAGGACGCCACGUGUCAGUGUUUGAAAGGAUUUGCUGGAGAUGGAAACCUGUGUUCUGAUAUAGAUGAGUGUGAGCUGGGCACCUCGGUGUGCCCUCCUACCUCCUCCGAGUGCAUCAAUACCGAAGGUGGUCACGUCUGCCGCUGCUCGGAAGGCUACCAGGGAGAUGGGAUCCACUGUCUCGAUAUUGAUGAGUGCCAACUAGGUGUGCACACCUGUGGGGAAAAUGCCACCUGUACAAAUACGGAGGGAAACUACACCUGCACAUGUGCUGGCCGCCCCUCUGAACCCGGACGGAUUUGCCCUGACCCUACUCCACCCUCUCACCUCGGGGAGGAUGGCCGCUAUUCUGUGAGAAAUAGUUACUCUGAAUGCCCGCCGUCCCACGACGGGUACUGCCUCCACGGUGGUGUGUGUAUGUAUAUUGAAGCCGUCAACAGCUAUGCCUGCAACUGUGUUUUUGGCUACGUUGGCGAGCGAUGUCAGCACAGAGACUUGAAAUGGUGGGAGCUGCGCCACGCUGGCCUCGGGCGACAGUGGAACGUCACGGUGGUGGCCGUCUGCGUGGUGGUGCUGGUCCUGCUGCUGCUCCUGGGGCUGUGGGGGGCUCACUACUACAGGACUCAGAAGCUGCUAUCAAAAAAUCCAAAGAAUCCUUAUGAAGAGUCAGGCAGAGAUGUGAGUGGUAUCAGGCCUGCAGACGGCGAGGCUGGGAUGUCCUCUUGCCCCCAACCUUGGUUUGUGGUGAUAAAGGAACAUCAAAAUCUCAGGAAUGGGAGUCAACCUGGAGCCCCCAAGGACGGCCUGGGAGCAGAUGUUGGCCAGUUUUCUUCCCUGGAGCCUGGUGAAUGACUGUCUUUACCUGGAUCUUAAAUGUUUCCCUGAGUGUGAAAAGUCUCAUCUAUGCACAGAAACAGUAGUUAAAUUGUAGAAGCUAUGUGAGCAGCUGGCUGCAUUGGAAUACACAGAGCGUUAGAGAAGUGUGUUUGGACUGGACUCCUGUCUUACGUGACGUUACCAUUUUCACUCAAAGCUCUGGUCACAUAGUGGUCUGCUAGGUCUCUUUGAGAAAGCACACAAAAUGAGGGACUUCUUGUUUUGAGUUAGAUUGGGUUUUGAGGUCAUUCUUGGGGUUUGGGAUCUAUCAUGGUGGCUGUAGGUAUGGUUCCAGUGAAACUGCAAAUGGCUCCAAGAAAAUUUGUUGCAUGUUCUAGUAGAAAGGGUUCUUGUGAAUUUAAGUUGAUCUGGGGGUUCUCCUAAGGAUUUGGGAGGAUUUAAGUCUUAUCAAGGGCUAGCCCUCAGCCGGAUGCCGAGCCAUCUGUGAAAUCCACCCACACCCCUGGAAAAGUGGCUAUAAAAUCAACCCAGGUUCUCAGGCUGUUCUGGAACUCAGUCUGCUUCAGGGUCAUUGCAGCCGACAUCAUGGAGGAAGGAACCCCAGAUGUAUAUGGACACAGAACAAGGAUGCUGUAUUCCAUCCUCCAGUGAUAAAGGCUCUGGUCCCCAGGGAAUAGGGUAUAGCUUUCAUCUCCCCUCCUAUGGGGCACGGUCCAUUGCUGUCGGGGUUGAAAAAUCCCAUUCUCUCCUGUCAGCUAACCCAUUACGGCAACAAAGGGCUCCAGAUCCACCACACCAAAUGGAGCUGACUCAGUGAAAACUGGAAUUAAAAGUAAGAUCAAGGAGAACAAACUGUACCGAUGGACAGUAAUACUUCCUUUCAAAAAGUAGAAGAAAAAUACAGAUUUUUGUUCUACAAUCUCUAUGACUAAUCACUAACUCAGCAUCAAAGACAAAUAUUUACUGUGCUUUUAUUUCUUCCUUCAAGCAGUCUCACUGCAGGUUGUCAAGUAAAAGUAAUUGGGAGAAUCACUCGGUAACUCAUUAGAAACCAAAAUGGGGACAGUAGUGUCUGUAAAAAGUGUUGUCUUCAAUAAUCAAUACAGAGAGGUUUUUGUUUUUGUUUUUACCUACAGCCCCAGAAGAAAUCUGGAGUUACGGCAAUCAUUCAUACUGGUUUGGUCAGUUACAAAGUAAUUUCUUUGAUUUGGAUAGAACAUUUAGCUCAAUCUUAUGAAAUGGUUGGCAUAUUAAAAUUAUUGUUACAUAGGCAUUUAACUUCUCCUUGCUAUGGUCCAUGCUGGUAAUUUUUCAGACUGAAUUAUGAUAAAUUAAUGAGCAAUGUAUUAACCUAGAACCUUGAUUUCUUCAGAAUUAGACGGCUUAAUUUUUUCUAUUUUAAAAUCUUUGAACGAAGACAUUUAAUCUUUAAAACAUUACCCAAGAGACUUUUGUGUUUCUCAUUCAUUACUGUCUUUUUCCCCACAGAAUUUAUUUCUAAUGAAAAUGGUAAAUUUCCCCUUUGUGUGUUUGCACAGAAUUUUUACUUAUUUUCAAAAUAUGAGAUUGUAAGCAGAUUGCCUGAUUUAUUUUCAUUUUGAACAACAAUGAAGUUCUUCUAAUUAUUUAAAUAAAAUCAGCAUAAAGCAUUAAUAUUUUAUUGUGUAGCUAGUUAAGUAAUACAUUACAGUUUAAAGGGUUGUUAGAGUUGAACCAAAGUGAUUUGUCAGGCUUGCUAUUGUACUUCGGAAAAAAAGUGUUUGAAAUCUCUAACGUUAUAAAGUAAAAUUUCACAAGGUGUUCCAAUUAAACAUCAUUCUUGUGACCAAGACUAUGAACCAUAGGAACCAUUGUUACCAUGAAUUACACAAUGUAAUAUCAUAACAGUG